GAACGCUGGCGGCGUGCCUAAUACAUGCAAGUCGAACGGUCUUUCUAUGGAAGCUGCUCACUGAGAAGAUAGUGGCGAACGGGUGAGUAACACGUGGGUAACCUGCCCAUAAGAGGGGGGAUAACAUCCGGAAACGGGUGCUAAUACCGCAUAGUUUUCUUGAUUGCAUGAUUGAGAAAGGAAAGACGGCCUUUGUGCUGUCGCUUAUGGAUGGACCCGCGGCGUAUUAGUUAGUUGGUGAGGUAACGGCUCACCAAGACGAUGAUACGUAGCCGACCUGAGAGGGUGAUCGGCCACAUUGGGACUGAGACACGGCCCAAACUCCUACGGGAGGCAGCAGUAGGGAAUCUUCCGCAAUGGACGAAAGUCUGACGGAGCAACGCCGCGUGAGUGAAAGAAGGUUUUCGGAUCGUAAAACUCUGUUGUCAGAGAAGAACAAGUUGGAGAGUAACUGCUCCAGCCUUGACGGUAUCUGACCAGAAAGCCACGGCUAACUACGUGCCAGCCGCCGC
rnacentral:rRNA from 1 species